AAUACUCCUGAGCCCACAUAUCACUCACUACAAUGAACUAGGCUGGGUCCUACACUUGUUCAAGACCCUGACAAACACUCCUGAGCCCACAUCUCGGUCACUGCACUGAACGAAUCUGCUGCUACCACUGCUAAGUCUCUUCAGUUGUGUCCGACUCUGUGCGACCCCAUAUAUGGCAGCCCACCAGGCUCCCCCAUCCCUGAGAUUCUCAAGACAAGAACACUAGAGUGGGUUG
rnacentral:sRNA from 1 species